CCACCAUCCAUUUGACUGGACCCGAGGGCCUGGGCGACGGCGGCGUUCGCUGGAGAGAAUGCGCCGUCCUCGCAGUUUCUCACGGCGCGGAAAGGACUUCCUGAGGGAUUCGGAGAGGGCGAGCUCGGGCUGGCAGCGGAACGGCCUAGCCAGCGAGGAGACGCUCCAGAUACAACGAGAGGACGCACAGCUGACACGGAGCAGUUUUGGGGCUGGCCACACAUGAAACCAGGAAGGUGGGAGUCACCAGGACAGUGGCAGACUAAACCCACCACCAAAAAAGCACCAAAAGAGCUUUGUCUCUGAACUUAUAUAUCUGAGGAGACCAGAGGAAGCUGUUGUAUGCGGAAAGACCAGAAAUAUGCAUAUUGAGAUUGAAUAUUAUUUUAAUAUCCUACUGACUACUGUACAAAACUGGGAGCAUAUUUUGGGCACAGGUAAGUGAGUGAACUUGCAGAGCAAAAAGCAGGUAAGUAUUUAAACAGUUGUGUAUAUCCAUUCAACAAUUUAAUAUUUCUGUAUCCUCGAGCAUUGUAACAAAAUAAUCCACAAGCAUGACUUGCGCACACUUUUCAGGAGAGUGGCAGCGAAUAUGUAGAGAAGAUUUAAAUGAUCCCCAGACUGAACAGACCGAUAAUAUCAAACCAGGAUUAACAGACAGCAGCUGCUGAUUUCCUACAUUAGCAGCAAGAGAAGACUCCUUUAUUUUGACACUGGCAUAUUCAUGGGCAGCCCUUUGCCAUUCCCAAGGGGUCCUGCAUAUCUGUAAGUGAUGCUUAGCAGCACAGAAAGUCACUCUGCUGUGUCUCUCAUCAGAACACUUGGGAGAUUAAUGAAAGCUCAAAGUGAAUUUAUUUAUUUGCUUAUGUUUUUGUAAUCAUUCAUAUGUAGUCAAAUCGCUGAGUAUAGUAUUAUAAGAUUAUCAGUGGCUACUGGGGCUGUGCAAAGGGGGUAUUAUACUUAUAAAGCCAAUAGUCCUCGAAUGAGAAAAUGCAUUGACACGUGUCUUCAUCUUGUGUGAGUUUUAAAUAAAAUAUUUAAAAUUAA